GCGUUCGUAGCUCACCCGGAUAGAGUAACGGACUUCGAAUCCGUAGGUAGCAGGUUCGAGUCCUGCCGAACGCG
rnacentral:tRNA from 1 species